UGCAAUGCAUGAUGGGAGUAAAUACUUGCAGCGAGCUGAAUUUGUGAAGACUGAUGUCGAAGACAUGACCCGUAUUUACUUAUAAAAUAACCGUUUAAAAUUCCACUAUGAAGCGGGUUUUUACCCUUUCAGAGAAGACCCAUGGCUCAGGGCAGAUACAGUUUGCAUGGCAGACAACGCUUGGCAACUACCUGGCCACAACUGGUCUCAACAACUCAGUAAAUCUGUAUGACAGGCACGGAGAACUCAAAGAUGAAAUCAGCCUGCCUGGGACGUGCACUGGCCUCGGUUGGGACAAGGACGGCGACACGCUGGCCAUGAUCUGUGACCGUAGCAGCGUGGUGUUCCUGUGGGAUGCUAACACCCACCGGACUGGCCAGGUCGACAGCGGCUUCAAGGACUCCUUGUGCUUCUUGCUGUGGUCCAAGGUGGGCCCCCAGCUGGCCAUCGGGACCAGCAAGGGAAACCUGCUGAUAUACAACCACCAGACAUCAAGGAAAGUGCCGAUACUUGGCAAGCACACCAAGAAGAUCUUGUGCGGUGCCUGGAGCUCUCAGAACCUGCUGGCCUUGGGCAGUGAAGACAAGAACAUCACAGUCAGCAACGCAGAGGGGGACACGCUCAAACAGACUAUUGUGAGAAUGGACCCAACCGACCUGCAGUUCUCAGAAAUGAAGACAGAUGAAAGAACUUCGCAAGGAGAAACCACGAUAAGUGCGAGUGUCGGCAAGAAGACGCUGUUCCUGUUGAACAUCGAUGAUCCAGACAAUCCGAUAGAGCUCGCAUUUCAGCAGAGAUACGGAGCCAUUGUUGCCUACAAAUGGUACGGUGAUGGCUACAUCAUGCUGGGUUUCUCCAAUGGUUACUUCAUCGUCAUCUCCACCCAUCUCAAGGAGAUUGGCCAGGAGUUGUUUCAAGCGCGCAACCACAAGGACCACCUGUCGUCCAUCGCUAUAUCCCUGGCUCUCAACAAGGCGGCCUCCUGUGGAGAUAACAGCGUCAAGAUCCACGACCUCUCCGACCUGAAGGAGGUCUACUCCAUCGUGACCCUGGAUGAGGAGACCAAAGGCCUGGGUCAGGUGGGCUGGACAGAUGAUGGUCAACUCAUGGCGGUCAGCUCGUCCCGAGGCUAUCUCUACGUCUACCUUACCAAGCUGCCUGUCCUGGGUGAUUCCCAGGGCACCAGACUGGCCUUCCUGACCUCUCUGCUGGAGGUCACCGUGGUGAACCAAGUCGAACAGGAACCGUCCAUACCUAUCAACAUUGAAGUUGAGCCCAACUUUGUCGCCCUCGGACCCUACCAUUUAGCAGUGGGGAUGAACAACAGGGCCUGGUUCUACCUGCUUGGAGAAAAAGAACCAGAGUUAACAAUAACUGAGCCACCAGAGGAAUCAGAGGAAGACUGGCCAGAGAAGUUGAAAGACAGAGAGUAUCUAGGCACGAUCAUCAACAUGUGCCUCAAUGCCGACUAUGCGGCUGUCUACUUUGAGAACAGCGUUCAAUUGCACCUGAUUGAAGCGGAAGGCUCAGGUGAUAAUGAGGAGAGAGAGACAAGAUUGUUUCCUGAGGAUGGUCAGGGAGGCAUCACGUGCCACGCACUAACAUCCGACUUCCUCAUCUACGGCACAUCAACUGGAGAGCUGAUGUUCUUCUACCUGGAGGACUGGCAGUUUGUGAACGAGUUCAGACACGAGGUGGGGAUCCGCAGAGUGUUCCCUGACCCCAGCGGCACCAGACUAAUCUUCAUUGACGACAAGAGUGACGGCUUUGUGUACAAUCCGGUCAACGACCAGAUAUUGGAGAUUCCCAACUUCUCACCCACGGUGAAGGGCAUUCUCUGGGAGAACUGGCCGUACGACAAGGGUGUCUUUGUAGCUUACGAUGAGGAUAAGCUCUACACCUACUUGUAUUCCAGAGAGACUGUGAGAGGUCCUGCAGUGACCCUUACUGGCACCACCAAGCUACCCUUUGCCCAGCAGCCCUUGAUGUUGUACAACGGAGAGAUGACGUGUCAGACACAGAGUGGCAAGACAGCGAUGGUACAGCUCAACUCGCACAACUUCCUGGAGAGGCCCCACGAUCUCCAGCCAGACGAUCUGAAGGUAGCCAUUGACAAGAGCAUCAAGCUGAAGCGGUUCAAGGAGGCUUGGAUGCUGUGCCAGUUGGCCAGCAACAAGGACUUGUGGAGGGAACUCGCCAAGGCAGCGGUGACUCACUUGGAGUUAGAGUUUGCUGUUCGGGUCUACCGCAGCAUUGGAGAGGCAGGGAUGGUGCUUUCAAUACAGAAAAUCAUGGGCAUUGAUGAUCGCAAUCUACUGUCGGGCCAUCUGGCAAUGUUCCAGGGUGACUUCAACCUGGCUCAGGAUCUCUUCCUGGCAUCUAGUCGGCCUAUUACGGCUCUUGAGAUGAGGCGUGAUCUUCUGAACUGGGACCAGGCACUCAAGUUGGCCAAGACACUGUCACCUGCCCAGAUACCAUACAUCUCCAAGGAAUAUGCACAACAGCUGGAAUUCACUGGUGAUUAUGGGAAUGCCCUGGCGCACUAUGAAAAGGGUGUCACGAGAGACAAAGAGCAACGGGAACAUGAUGAGGCCUGUGCGGCAGGCGUGGCCCGCAUGUCCCUCCGUGUCGGUGACAUCCGACGUGGCGUCGGCAUGGCAACCAAGAUGCCUAGCCGCAUCCUGAAGCGAGACUGUGCCGCCAUCUUGGAGAGCAUGAAGCAGUACUCGGAGUCAGCGCUGCUGUAUGAGAAAGGACAGUACUACGAUAAGGCAGCGUCGGUGUACAUACGCAGCAAAAACUGGGCCAAAGUUGGUGAGCUUCUGCCCAACGUUACAUCUCCCAAGAUCCACAUCCAGUAUGCCAAGGCUAAGGAGGCAGACGGACGACACAAGGAAGCCGCCUUGGCCUACGAGAACGCGAAAGACUGGGACAACGUCAUCAGAAUUCAGUUGGAUUUCCUUCAUAACCCUGAGGAAGCAGUGCGCAUCGUCCGAGAAACAGGCUCUGUAGAAGGAGCCAAGAUGGUGGCAAGGUUUUUCCAGAAGUUGAAUGACUUUGGUUCAGCCAUCCAGUUCCUGGUCAUGUCCAAGUGCAAUGACGAGGCCUUCCAGUUGGCUCAACAACACAACCAGAUGGAGAUAUAUGCCGAUAUCAUCGGCGAAGAUGCCACCCAGGAGGACUACCAGAGCAUAGCGUUGUACUUUGAGAAUGAGAAGAACCAUCUGAUGGCAGGCAAGUUCUUCCUGCUGUGUCAGCAGUAUGGACGGGCUCUCAAGCAUUUCUUGAAAUGCCCUACCACCAACGAUGACAACCAGGCUGUCGAGAUGGCCAUUGAAACAGUUGGCCGUGCCAAGGAUGACCAGCUGACCCAUCAACUGAUUGACUACCUGAUGGGGGAGACAGACGGCAUGCCCAAGGAUGCCAAGUACCUGUUCCGUCUGUACAUGGCCCUCAAGCAGUACAGAGAGGCAGCCAGGACAGCGAUCAUCAUUGCGAGGGAGGAACAGAUCGCUGGAAAUUAUCGAAACGCUCACGAUGUUCUGCUCAGCAUGUAUCGGGAGCUGAAGAGCCAGAAGAUUAAAAUCCCGACUGAGAUGGCCAGCAAUCUCAUGAUCCUUCACAGCUACAUCCUUGUCAAGAUCCACGUGAAGAGAGGUGACCACAAGAAGGGAGCAAGAAUGUUAAUCAGGGUGGCUAACAACAUCAGCAAGUUCCCGGCUCACAUCGUUCCCAUCUUGACCUCCACGGUCAUCGAGUGUCAUCGUUCUGGCUUGAAGAACUCCUCCUUCAGCUACGCAGCCAUGUUGAUGAGGCCGGAGUACCGCAAUAACAUCGACCUGAAGUACAAGAAAAAAAUCGAGGCAAUUGUUAGGAAACCAGACAAGUCGGAGCAGGAGGAAGACACGUCGCCGUGCCCGUACUGCAAGUACAGCCUGGAAAACACGGAGCUGGUCUGCCCAGAGUGCAAGAACAACGUCCCUUACUGCAUUGUCACUGGGCAACACAUGGUGAGGGAUGACUUCUCUGUCUGCCAUAACUGUGACUUCCCUGCCUUACAUUCCGAGCUCACAAGCUUACUGGAAACAGAAGACUCCUGCCCCAUGUGCUCGGAGCGUCUCAAGCCAGCUGUGGUGCGGAAGAUUGACGACCCCUCAUUGUACCUGCACCCGGAUGAGGGAUCAGAGGAUUAGCAGGAUCAAGGGAUUAAGAUAUGAGGAUGGGGAUUAAGAUCAUCGGCAGUACAUUUGCAAGACCCGGUGGGAUUAGAGCAACAGCACGAAGAAAGGGAUUAGGAUGGUGUUGGAGAUUUGAGGAUUAACAGGAAAAAGAACAAGAGACCUUGAGCAUUCUUGAUUGGAAAACGAGAAAGCCACGUUGAAGGCUUGAUGAUAAGCAGGAAACAACCAGACACCUUCUUGACAUCAGAUCCAAGGAUGAGCAACAAGGGGGAAACAGGAUGUUUAUGUUAAGAAACCAGACUUUUGGAAGUUAAGAUCAGACGAGUCUUUAAAGAAAGCAGACUGAUGAACACCAUGACUAUUGCAAGAAGACAAGGGUCAGCAGUCAAGCAGCACGGUAGCAAUCACUGCACAGGAUUAAAGGAUAAGACAAGACACCAUGAUAAAGAAGCCAGCGAUAAACAUCAAGUAUGACCCAAAAAACAUGAAAUAUUUCACAGAACGUGACACGACAAAAACCGAAUUAAAAACUACAAGAAAAUGAUAUCCAUCUAUGCUUCUUAGGUUUUUUUUAAAUUUCAGUUGCUCUGUCGGCUUCUUUUUGUUUUGCCUAGUAGCUAUCAGUCGUUAUCUUCAGGUUUCUCAUUUUUCUUUCUAAUUUCACCACAUCAGUUAGUGUUGACACCACGGUAAAAGUUACUCCCAUUUACGAAAUAAAGUGCACCCCUAAAAGCCUGUGUUUAGUUGUUACCUUAAAUAUGGCACUACAUAUCCUAUCAUAGUGGCAUGUACAUGUGCAUGCACAUAUAGUAAGAAACAAUACUGCCAAUCCCAACCCGAUCAAUGCGAUUAAUCCAUUACGAAAAAGGGUAAUGUCAAACAGGUUUGGGCACAAAACACAUUGCUUUCCCUUCACUAAGGUAUUCAUGAUUAGAAAGAACAUUUCACACACGAACAAGGCCGCAUAUUCAUGUUUGAUUUUGUGCCAAAUACCUGGGCCUUGACACGGUUUAUAAUAUUGCAGAGUUCACGAUUUGUAUAUUUUAUUGUAUACAGCUUAAGUUGAGAAUGUAUAUACUAUGUAAUAUUCUGUGUGCAUUGACUGACCAAUCAAGCUUGUAAUAAAGUGUCAUAAUUUCACCGCUAUUGAAA